rnacentral:rRNA from 1 species
CGAGAAUCUACUGAAGGAGGAUUCGUCCAACGGAUGUAGAGGAAAGUGGCGGACGGGUGAGUAACGCGUGAGGAACCUGCCUUGAAGAGGGGGACAACAGUUGGAAACGACUGCUAAUACCGCAUGAAGCAUAGGGGUCGCAUGAUCUUUAUGCCAAAGAUUUAUCGCUUCAAGAUGGCCUCGCGUCUGAUUAGCUAGUUGGCGGGGUAACGGCCCACCAAGGCGACGAUCAGUAGCCGGACUGAGAGGUUGAACGGCCACAUUGGGACUGAGAUACGGCCCAGACUCCUACGGGAGGCAGCAGUGAGGAAUAUUGGUCAAUGGACGAGAGUCUGAACCAGCCAAGUAGCGUGAAGGAUGAAGGUCCUACGGAUUGUAAACUUCUUUUAUAAGGGAAUAAAACCUCCCACGUGUGGGAGCUUGUAUGUACCUUAUGAAUAAGCAUCGG